rnacentral:rRNA from 1 species
GACGAACGCUGGCGGCGUGCUUAACACAUGCAAGUCGAACGGAAAGGCCCCUUUGGGGGUACUCGAGUGGCGAACGGGUGAGUAACACGUGAGUAACCUGCCCUUGACUUCGGGAUAACUUCAGGAAACUGGGGCUAAUACCGGAUAGGAAUCCUUGCUGCAUGGUGGGGGUUGGAAAGCUUCGGCGGUUUUGGAUGGACUCGCGGCUUAUCAGCUUGUUGGUGGGGUAGUGGCUUACCAAGGCUUUGACGGGUAGCCGGCCUGAGAGGGCGACCGGCCACAUUGGGACUGAGAUACGGCCCAGACUCCUACGGGAGGCAGCAGUGGGGAAUAUUGCACAAUGGGCGGAAGCCUGAUGCAGCAACGCCGCGUGCGGGAUGACGGCCUUCGGGUUGUAAACCGCUUCCAGCAGGGGCGAAGCUUGUGGUGACGGUACCUGCAGAAGAAGCACCGGCUAACUACGUG